GUAAGAAAGCUCUCUCGGCCCCUCGGCGUCUCCUCGCACGUUUCCAAAUGGCAGGGCCUGGUGUCCGUGACUGGGGUGCCCACUGUGAGGGCCCGCACUGAAAAUCCCUGACACUGACAUACGUGAAUCAUGGGCAUCUUGGAAAGGCCUCAAAACGCGGCUGAAACACUGAAAUUUCACCCUUAAUGAGCUGAGGCAAGACUGGUCGAGUUGGAAAGAGAGACUCUUUUCAAUGUGGCUGCUGAAAUGAAGGGAGGAAGUCUGCAGUUUCUUAUUGCCUCCUUAUCAUCAUGAGGAAAAAGCCAGCGCAAGAAUGGAGCAAACUGGGAGCGAAGCAGAACCAAUAGAUCACAAGCACAAAACCAAGUCCUGAUGACAUUGUUUGCGCUCCUUGAUCCAGAACUUGAUCUGCACCUAGUGACUCAUUCGUCUUGUGGCUGCCUCUGGAUUCGUGAGUAUGGUGCCUAGAAAGAAAUAACCAACAAAUCAAAGUCUAUUUCAUUGAUGCACAUGUUGGCACCCUUUGAAAGAUCCAGAAAUCCACAUGUUGAACAUGAAUCUAGGGCUGCGGUUGCUGCAACGGUAUCUUCCACAACUUGAUUUUCUAUAAUAUCAAUUACUCAGGUGCGAAUUUGCAUGGAAAUUGCUGCUCUGUGUUGGCA